GGAUUGNCANUGGGCGCAGCCUGAUGCAGCGACGCCGCGUGGGGGAUGACGGCCUUCGGGUUGUAAACCUCUUUCACCAUCGACGAAGGUCCGGGUUUUCUCGGAUUGACGGUAGGUGGAGAAGAAGCACCGGCCAACUACGUGCCAGCAGCCGCGGUAAUACGUAGGGUGCGAGCGUUGUCCGGAAUUACUGGGCGUAAAGAGCUCGUAGGUGGUUUGUCGCGUUGUUCGUGAAAACUCACGGCUUAACUGUGAGCGUGCGGGCGAUACGGGCAGACUGGAGUACUGCAGGGGAGACUGGAAUUCCUGGUGUAGCGGUGGAAUGCGCAGAUAUCAGGAGGAACACCGGUGGCGAAGGCGGGUCUCUGGGCAGUAACUGACGCUGAGGAGCGAAAGCGUGGGGAGCGAACAGGAUUAGAUACCCUGGUAGUCCACGCCGUAAACGGUGGGUACUAGGUGUGGGUUUCCUUCCUUGGGAUCCGUGCCGUAGCUAACGCAUUAAGUACCCCGCCUGGGGAGUACGGCCGCAAGGCUAAAACUCAAAGAAAUUGACGGA
rnacentral:rRNA from 1 species